UUUGCUUUGCUUAGUAAUUUCUAGUCGCGCAGUAAGGAUGCCUCGCUUUUAGGCAGCCAACGGAUUUUUCUCAAUUGAGGCUGUAAAAAUUAUCAUUUGGACAAUGUGAACAUGUUCCUGAUGUCAUCUUGGUGCAGCAGAUACUAUCACCUUUCAGUCACUCUCAUUUACAAACUUAUCAGUUGACCAGAAACCUGGUUGUGACUGGCAUUACACGUGUCAAACAAUCUAAAAAACAUCUCUUCUAAAGCUUUCCGCGGUUUCUCUCCACCUCUUGAGUUUCAAAACCCGCCAUAAUGCCUUUGGCAUUGUGUGCUGCUAAUCCCAAGGGCGCGGAAUCAAAUUCCAACUGCAGCAGCUGCAUUUCCACGGGGAAGAAAUGCAAGAACACCUGUUUACCAUGCAUUGAGUGCACAUUGAAGAAUUCCAGGUGGUCAAAAUUAAUUCGGAGUCCCCCACUAUGGUGUGUCUCAUAAUCAUGUCGUGGUUUUUGCACAUAAAACCCCAGACUCACCUCUUGUUCCCUGUAAGUAGCAUUGGUUACACGAAUUUAAGGCCAUACUGCUCCACUCAAGGCCUAUAUGUAGUAGGGGUUUUCAUAUCCUGAUAUUUCUGGAUAGAAUUAAAUAUGGAUAUUUGACGAAACUGACCUAUUGAAUAUUGAAUAACAAAUAUGUUCACAUUUCAGAGAAGUGUGGAGUAUUCUUGAAAAAAAAGAAACUUUACAUUGCAAGGGUGGACUUUUAACAUUGUUGGUACAACAUUUUUUUAAUGCUUAGCGCAGAAACCAUAGACAAGACAGGCGAGAGAAGAGACACACACAAGUGGUACUUUCAACGAUUUAUUGGAAGUUGGAUCACGGGUUUAUACAUGCAAGCAUUUGCUAGCAUUCUUGAUAAACCUGGCCAGAUUGAUGUUAUAUUCCUGUAUUGCAGACAGAAAAGCAUUUGAGCUUGUUUGACACUCUAAAUUAAUUGAGAAGCUCUAAAUCGCAAAUCUUCUGCCAUACUUAAUUGGCUGAAUCUCUGCAUACUUAACUAAGCACAAACAAUUCGUCAGCAUAAGCGAUUGCCCUUCCCAUGAAGUGCCAGUUACUUCCAGUGUUCCUCAAAGCAGCAUGCUUGGCCUCUUGUCAUUUUUAAUAUGUAUUAAUGAUAUAGAAGUAGUCAGUCACCCCUUUUAAAUAAAGUUGUUUGCUGAUGAUUGUUUUUUAUUUAAUGAAAUACAUUUCUGUGAGCCCUAACUUCUGUUAUUUCAAUCUCAAAAUUGGCCUUCGUCGGAUAAUUCGAACCUCACUGGUCAGAUUCGCCCAAAUACAGCCGUGUUAUGCGCUGAAGCAUAUGCAACUUACUGUGGUGAAGCAUAUUGAGAAUGGAAAAGGCCCACUGUCACAGGACAUCACACGUGUUCCUUGAUUAUACAAGCAUGCAGUUUCCUGUCACAGUAGGAGAACCUAGCCACCUAAUAAGCAUAGUGGCAGCCAUUCAGAGCUGUUUCUUACGUUUCAGUGGUGAUUUGAGUCCUUUUUUCACCUUCCAUGCAUGUCUCGUGUAUGAGACUGUUAAUGAGGCCUAGUAUGUCUUCUUUAAGUAAAUGUGCCGUGCACAGAGAAGUGGAAAAUAAUCAUGUGUUUUGGGAAAGCUAGCAAAAAGGAAGGCAGUAAGUUGAAAAAACUGCGUUAAGCCGAGGAGAUGUUAAAAGCCAACAAAAGAGUGUGAAUAUAUCAAACUCUGAAGGCCUGCCCAUACACCUAUUAGGCGUCUUGGUGCUCAUACUGUGACUGGAGACUGCACAUGUGCAUGUAUGUAAUUUAGGGAACACGUGCUGAUUUGCAACAAUGGCACCUUUCCCUGCUUGGUAUGGUUCUAUGCAUAACAUGGCUGUAUUGCAGUGAAGCUAACAUUAAGAAAAAUAGUAAACUGGGCGAGUUCGUAGCUGUUGAUGGUUGCAGGUGUAGCGCUAAACUGAAACGCGGCCAAAGUUAAUUUUGAAGGCAAAUACUGCAAAGUGAAGCAAUGGCAUGUUUCAAUGUUUUUUUAUGCCUUUUGUUUAAUUCGACCAGUCUCAAUGGUCCCGUCAGGAUCGAAUUAACGGGCAUGCCUCAUAAUCAGAACUGGUUUUGGCAAGUAAAACCCCAGAAAGAUGAUCAAAUUAAUGGAAGUCGACUGUAUAUAUGGCUGAGUAGAGCCACACUGUCUAAAACCGGUACAGCAAAAAAACACCAAGAAACCUAAAUGACCCAUUGCAAAUGCAGUCAACUUUCAUGGCAUGCGAAAAUAAUCUAACUUUCUCACGGACAAUGAUAGUGAUAGUUUGCUGAUACAUUGGUCAGCGGCCGAUAGGAUUUGCCCAGUUUCUACUAUUAAUCUUACACACUUGCGCUUAUCCCUGUAUAUAAUAGCGGUGUCAUUUAGAAGAGGGCGACAUGGACAUGUAUUGCAAUGCAAAGCAAGAAAAUCGUCACCUGAUACACUAUAUUUCUGUGCUCUCUUAAGUUCUCAUUAAUGCAUCUUCCGGUUUGGCCUAUGUAGCAUCUACCGCAUGACAGUGGAAUAUGAUAGACCACUCCUACACCGCAUCCGACGAACUCAUCUUUGCAAUGCUACCACAAACCGGCUUAUUUGUCCUUAUUGGGUUAGUGGUUUUACACAAGGUGCUUAGCUUAUUUGGAGCUGAAAAAACACCCGCACAUUACCUUGGCUUCCUAUCUUUUUCAGGCUAUGUGAUAUCUGGCGUAUAUACGGAAUCACAGCGGUUUUCACCUGGUCACGGCUGCUAGCUCUUGCAUUUGCACGGAGGCAUCGUCUCGAAAGUUCCUGUUUGAGCAGCCUUUCUGCCACCGACACCAACACGUUGUUAGGCUGUCGUCUUCUCGGAAGCAGGCACUGAUGCUUGGAGACCUGCAGAGCACAAACUGCAGCAUGUAUGCCGAAAUAAACAGCUGUUGCCUAUUUCAAAUAAAACCAAUGUCAGGUGUGGCGAGCCCGGGAGACAGCAAGAGCCGCAGGAGUCCUGGACUAAGGGCGCCUCCCACACAAGCAGAAAUACACCUGCUUUUCCUUUCUUUUCUUUAAUAGAAUAGUUUACCUGACUUGGAGGCAGUUUUAUCUCGGGAGCUCCUAUCUGAAUACAUGGGAAAAGAGAAAUAGUUUUUCUCUGAAGCCAGCAAUGGAAUUCGAUGAGGUUGGUUACACGUUAAAAGAAACAAAAAAAAAGCUGAAAUGUAGCCACUGUUUUAGGGGGCAAUGUUUUGUGGCAGGAAAUUUUGAAAAUUGUGAAAUUAAAAAGACUUUCGUAUGAAGUUUACAACUUGAUACAAAAGCUAUGACAUUGUAAACUUCGUGCUUAUAUUUUUUAAGCUUACUGACUCUCGGCAAUUUUUCCUAAAUAUUCAAGGUCCUAAAUCAAAAUUAUGCAGCCUAGAAUGACUAAAAUUUAACUUUUUCUCUCAAAUGCAACAAAUUUCAUUGAAAUUAUUCGGGUAGUUGUCUCAAAAGCAUUUCUGCAUUUUACAUGUAUUUGAAUAAAGAGAUUAGAGUUGGCACUGAACUAAAGCACCCUCCUCAAGGUAAGCACGUCAAUUCUGGCCGUAAGGCCAGUUAUCAGUCGACACUCUACACUAUAAAAGAGAAUUGCCUUUUUUUACACUUUUCCAGCAAUUCCAACUUAGUAGCAUGCUUCACUGAAUGCAGCUAGGAAGAAGGAAAUUUGACAAUAUUUAGUUUAUGUGCAGAAUUAAUGCAUUUGUAUGUCACUGAAUUUUGGCCUUCAUGAGCAUUCAUAUCCUUGAAUUUUUUUCAAUGUUGAAUCUAACAUUUGAAUCAAUUGAAUCAAAGCAGCCAUCAGGCCACCAAGCAACGUAAGGGCAAAUAAGAACUUCAUGUGGAAGCACUUAAAAGGUCUGUUCAAUUCACCUGCACAACUGUGAACCAGUUAACGGAGGUUCACAAGAAGUUCAGAAAUUGUGCAGCUUGUUUCUGCGGUGCAGGCACAGCGCAACACUCGAAACGAAUGGCAAGGUGCAGAUGCGGUGCAGGCGUUAUGUUAUGCCCGAUUAAUGUGCACAGAGUGCGUACAUUUGAAAGAUCGUGAACUACAAGUAUCAGCUUGUGGGCCUAACUACAAACCACACUUGUAGACACAUCAGACGUGCGUAAGCGGGCUUUUAAUGGCGCUUGCACCCAUGUGCUGGAUUUUCUGCUGCACUGCUGCGUCGCACCUGUAUGCCUGUACCAAGUCGGCACUGACAGCGGAGUACGUGCAGCAAAAUCAUGAACCAGCCCUGCACCUUUUGAAACGAACGGAGUGGUUCAGCGGGCGCCACUGGAACAAAUGGCUGGGUGCAACACGUCGUGAACUCGUUCAGGCGGUGCAGGCAAAUCGAACGCACCUAAAGUAAAGCACAUUCUGGGGCGCUAUAACAUAAAAUGAUUUCAAACUGUUUUGAUUCCAAUCUCCUGACAUCAAAUUUACGUAACCACCGGUGCAAGCAUUGGGCAGUGACCUGCAGCGUGGUCUGAACAACCCAAUCAAACACUCUCUUCGUUUAUAGGAGGUCACCUUUGUUCACUUUCAAAACCAAUAACAUUGCCUACAGACAGACAGACAGACAAUGAACUUUAUUUGAUCCUGAGGAGCUUCAGCGGAGGCCCCUAUCGGGGACCCGCGGAAGCCGCUGGCCGCGUCCAAGUCGGGGCAGGAACGCCGUGAUGUUCCGCCCUUUCUCGGGCCCUCUGGAUUGCCUCUAGUUGUGUCUGGAGCGAUGGGCUCCGGAGUGCCUCUUCCCAGUCGGCUUCGCUGGAGAGAGGGCCGUUAGGUAACGCGGGGCAUUGCCAGAGCAUGUGCGCUAAGGAACAAUAGAUCUCAUUACAGUCCGGACAGCUCGAAUCGACGUCUCUGUAGAUACGGCUGAGAAAGCCCAGCGAAGGGAAUGAGCCCGUCUGGAGCAUUCUAAGUAAAACUGUCUGAGACCUGUCUAACUUCGGGUGAGGAAGAGGAUAGGCCCUUCUGCUAAGCCGAUAGUGAGAUGUUAUCUCGUGAAAAGUAAGGAGCGGAUCGUUCUGCUGGAUUUCAUCCUGUCCCCAUAAGGCCUCCAUGGCGCCGCGGCGUGUUAGAUCUCGCGCACGGUCAUGGGCAAGCUCGUUGAGGUUAGGUAUGUUCUGAUGAACGUCCGCACCCAUAUGGGCGGGAAACCAAGAGAUGAAGUGAGUGCCAGGGUUUGUUCUCUUUUCCAGAAUGGAGGCAGCCUCGUGGGCUAGGUUACCCGAUUCGAAAGCUUUGAUGGCCGCUCGUGAGUCGGUGAAAACGUUGGUGCGCGAGGGGUCGGUCAUGGCCAGGGCUAUGGCGACCUGUUCCGCGACUCCACUUGAAGCAAACCUAACCGACGCCGAGGAGCGUAAUUCCCCUUUGCCGUCAAUGAUUGCCAAAGCGAACGUGCUAGAGUUGCCGUACUGAGCCGCGUCGACAAAGACAGUCCUUCUGUAAAACUGGCCUUCUGUAAAAUCGCCCGUGCUCGGGCUUUUCGUCUCCCUACAUUGUAUUGCGGGUGCAUAUUCCGAGGGAAUGGGCUGACCACAAAGGUUGCCCGUGCCUCCCUGGAUAAGGUGAUUUUCCGUUCAUUGAGUAUUCUUGGAGCCAUGCCGGCCUCGUCUAGGAUGCGUCUCCCUGCCCUGGUUGACGAGAGCCUGACUACCUGAGCGGUGACCUGCGCUUCGAGUGCCUACACUCAGCGGUUUUUCUUAUCUAAUUGGCUGACAAGAGGCGAGGAGUACGGUCUAGUGGAGAGGGUUUGGAUGGGGCUGAGCCAGCACAGUAAAAAUAGAUAACCACAUGAAGAGGGUGGUGCUGGCUUCUCCGAUUGGUCCGCUUCACCUUACUUGGCUUGCGGUGGCUGGUCGAAAAUCGCGGCGGCUUGCAACAGAAGGAUAAGAAUGCCGCUAAAACGGAUCCUCAGCAAGGAAGAGUUGGCAGAGCUGCAGAGUUGGCAGAGCUGUUAGAGAUGCUGUAUACAUGCCGCAAGGGCUCGAUAACGUUUUACUGUCAUGCAAAAAGGUUUAUCAUGUGAAAAUAAAUACAUGCUGACCGGCAGGUGCGAGUAGCGAGGGCCUGAGCGAUCGGCGGGCAGCCAUCUUCUAUUCCUUUCAGAACGGGGCAGUCUCUGGCUAUUCAGAAAAAGUUUCAGUUUUGUUUGGCAUAUUAAUGCAUUUUUUUUCGCGUACACGUCACUUUGAUGCAGUGAGUUUUUGCUGUUUUGUGAGGUCGCGUGACAGACAGGCGAGGUGGGUGUCGCCCAAAAACAUUGAACCAAUAGCAGAGGGCUAAUGGUGAAAAGGCGUUGAAUCAGGAAUAAUUAUUUUUCUUUUGUGCGGUUUAAUCAUUCAUUAUCAGUGUGUACAUGUAUAUCAGGUGGAGAGCCAUCACGGUUUUCGUGACGUCGCGUGACAGACGAGUGAAGUUUGGAGUGGCCUGAAAAAGUUUUGACCAAUCGUGGUGGGCUGAUUGCAGAAUUGGAAUAGAAAAGUUUGGAAUCAUUUUAUGUUAUAGCACCGCAGGAUUCUACAGGGGGUCAUAGAAUUAGACUUCCAUGCAGAUGGCCAACCUCGCAAGGUUCACACGGCUGACGUAAUGAAGUCAACCUAAGCUGAUCUCAACCUCCCAAAGUGAUGCAACAUUGGUUGGCUGUUAAAAUUUUUUAGCUAUGGCAGUGGCAACCUCAUGGACAAAUUUAAGGUUGAGUGAGGUCGAAUGCUCGGUGAGGUUAUAUUUCACAGCAGCUGAUGUGCACAUUUCCACUUCAUGAAUAAAUAUGUGGAAAGUUUUAUGAUUUUACUGAUAUGAAGGGGUAAUUAUUUAAUACAAUAGAUCUGGAAGUGGGCUUCACCCCAAGCCACCUGAGGCUUUGUUUUCAAUUUGUAUAGACAGCUCUCAUCACAUAUGAAGCAUAGGUGUACAUUUCUUUUGCUUUACUUCAGAUGUGUGACACCACCGCAGUUGGAUAUCUUGCAUCGGCCUGUAUCCUCUGACCUUACUUUUAAAAGACAGUGAGUCACAUGCCAAACUUCUUCCUCGUCGAGUAUUCCUGCUCUAAACUAACAAAUGACAGUUGCUGCCUCUCAUUCAGUGUUGGCCAAAGACACCUAGCCAGAAUCUUGGUACUGAAUAAUGAAACUACGCAAGACAAACAUUCUUCUUCUGGUAUGUUGCCUGUAGGCAACAACUGUCAAUUAAGGGCUAAUGAGAAAUAAAUUAAAAACUGAAAUACAGUAGAACCUCGUUGAUACGAUCUUCACAGGAACUGGAAAAUAAAGUGUAUCAUAGGAAAAUCGUAUCAUCCAACAUAUUAUCCAACCAAAUUGGAUUUUCGGGAAAAGAAAAACAAAAUUUAACAUUUCGAAAAAUGUAUUAAGCAGAAUCGUAUCGAGGUUCCACUUUAUAAAAAGAAACGACACUGAAAUUGGCUGUAGAAAAGUUAGUAAAUUACUAACUGCACUCUGAAGCUUGUCACAAUUUUUUCUAGAGUUUAGAAGUCUAGGACCUUGAUUUAACGCAAGAAAUGAAUAGUCAAAAAUAUUGUUACGGUGAAGGGAAGGAAGAAGUUGGAUUAGACUAGACGAAGUCUGGCAGUUGCCUGAAUGCCAUUAACAUCAGUUGUAAAUAUACAUUAUUUUACACUUGUGGGCCUGCUUUUUUCCUGCAACAUUUCGGUGGAAGUGCUGGGUACAAUCACGGAACUUCGCAGCGGACGUCAUCUACCUGCCGCCACAAUGGCAAAUCAACCGGACGAUACCGAUGCAGACUCGGACAUCAGUGUACUAUCCCUCUCCGGCUUCCUCCAUAUUGGCAACGAGCAGCGGAAAGAUCCUGUUCUUCGAACACUUAUGGAACGCCUAAGCUCCUCGCCCAAUGACCCGUCCCUCCGGAUGUUCACCUUGCGCGAUGGAACUUUAUACCGUCGCAGCGUUCGUCCAGACAGCCCGGAGCUCCUCCUAGUCGUUCCCAAGCACCUUCGACUCGCCUUGCUCCAGCAACUUCACGACGCUCCUUCUGGCCCGGCAUUUAUCGCUCUGUGCGCCGUUAUGUCGCUUCUUGCGACCUGUGUCAGCGCCGAAAGACGCCUGCUAUGCCUCCCGCUGGUUUACUGCAACCAAUUGAUAUCCCUACAGAGCCCUUCUACUGGGUGGGCCUAGACCUCCUUGGCCCCUUUCCAAUUUCCAUCAAAGGAAACAAAUGGAUUGCUGUAGCAACGAUUAUGCCACGAGCACUACCAACCAGCUGCGCUACAGAUGUCGCAGACUUCUUACUAUACGACGUCAUCCUGCACCACGGCGCCCCUCGCCAGUUGCUGACGGAUCGCGGCCGCUACUUUCUAUCGAAGGUCGUCAACGAUCUGCUCCGCUCCUGUUCUACAGAACACCAGAGUGC